UUUGGCUUUAAAUGUGAUUUACCCCUACCAAUCGACUGUGAAAAUUUUAUCAUGGGAUGUACGGUAGGUUUUCGAACAAUCCUGAAUGAAAGACUGGCUUUUACAACCUUGGAUGAGAAUUGAAUUGCACACGCCCUUUAUUUAAGUACGUGCUCAUGUGAUGCCAUGUAUCGCAUGCGAGAAAGCAAGAUUAAUUUAGAGCUCCUUUACCGGUUGUUUAUCAAGUUUUUGUGUCAUAUCUUUUUGGCCCUAGUCUUAAACACAUGUUUGAACAGAGUUUGAAACUAUUGCUACAUAUAUUGAAGUGAUUUAACACCUUUCAAGUGCUGAAGUGGUUUUGGUUUCAUUUUAGGGUUGCUUGCGUCAUUUGUGCACGUGCAAUUAAUACUGACAUCUGGCAAGCAAUCAUAACACGUGCUACUAGUCUCCAAAAAACUGUAGUAAGCCACCUUAAAUUCAAAUUUUCCAAUGAGCAUCCCUGGCCUUCUCAUAUGGGAGUUCUCCUCCCCGGGCUUCCAAAUGUCUAACAGGAAGUGACCCAGUGAAGGAAUGAAAGGGUGAAGCAGUGAUGGAGUGAAAUUGUCCCACCACUACAACUUGGAAAAUACGAAUAUUUUCCAAGUUAAAAAUGAAGCCUUGCAUAAAAACAAAGGCAGCUAUGAAGCACUGAUGAUACUAUCUCCAGAAUCGAGGCAAGAUCUUAGUUGGUGGGUAAGCAACCUACCACAUACAUACAAACACAUUGAUAUCUCAAACCCUGACAUAGAAAUCACUACUGAUGCUUCAAAACUAUCAUGUGCUUUCAUAAGAACAAUUUUUUAAAAAAUGGGUUUUCGCCUUCGGUUCUCCUUUAAACGAAGAAAAUUUGCUGUCAAUGAAGACGCUUGGUGUGUUGUGGUAGGCUGAGGAAGAUGUUUUCACUUACAGAGUGAAUCUGCCAGAUGAGAAGUUCCAGUUGACCAAGCGAAAUUUCCUACAUAAGAUAGCCAUGCUGUUUGACCCUAUGGGGUUUCUGGAGCCAUACGUGAUCCGGGCAAAGAUUCUCCUGCAAGAGAUGUGGACCUCAGGAUUAGAUUGGGAUGACCCACUAGACCAAAGCCAAGCUAGAGAGGCCAAGAAGUGGUUUGAAGAGCUCACAGAGUUGUCAGAAGUGCAAGCCCCUCAUUGUCUGCAGUUGAACUCAGAUGUUGAAACAGUUACCUUGCACACCUUCACAGAUGCAUCAGGGGAUGCGUAUGGUGCAGCAACUUACAUUAAUUACAAGUACAAGGGUGGUACAGUAUCUACCAACCUAGUGACCUCCAAGACACGAGUGGUACCACUAUCAGCUACAAGCAUUCCAAGACUCAAACUUAUGGGAGCUGUUUUGGAAUUAAGAUUAGCGCUGUCCAUAGCCAAGGUUCUUAAGAUUGACCAGAACCUACUCACAUUCUGGAGUGACAGCAUGCAUGUAUUGUGGUGGAUACAAAUACCCAGUUGCAGUUUCAGACCACUUGUAGCAAAUCGGAUAGGAGAAAUACAUGAUUCAAGCAGUCCUACGCAGUGGUGCCAUGUUAGCACAGACCAGAACCCUGCUGACCUGCCAACAAGAGGAAUGUCUGCGACUGAGCUAAAAGGAAACAAGAUGUGGUGGAAGGGUCUGAAGUUCCUGAGCAUGCCAGAAGACACAUGGCCAAAAACAGAGAUUGAUGUAACUGCUGAAGCAACACUAGAAGUCCGUAAGAAAGUGAGGACAACAUUUGAUGUGCCAGACAAAAAAUCAGUACUGUUCGUGCUGACCCCACAAGUGACUUGGUGUUUACACCCCAGCAGAUAUUCAAGCUGGACCAGAUUAUUGAGAGCUAGAGCAUGGGUACACUGAUUCAUGAACAACUGUGGAACGCCACCAGAAGAGAGGAGUUCUGGAAAACGUACCAUUCAGGAGAUCUCAGAUGCAGAGACUGACAUCAGCAAAGAGGCACAAUAAGAAGCCUUUCAAGAAGAAUACAAGGCACUGGCCAAUUUCAAGUCUGUUCUGCAAAACAGCAAGUUGUUAAGUUUUGAACCCCAUCCUAGAUGAAGAUGGUCUGCUUCAAUCAGAUGGGAGACUGCUAUGCAGACUACCUGCCUUUUGAUUCUAGAUAUCCAGUCAUUCUGCCGAGGAAGAGUGGGGUGACCAGACUAAUUGUGAAGUCCUAUCACGAAAGAAGUAACCAUGCAGCGGAAAACAAUCACACGUUGUCUUUGCUGUCCGCCAGAUUUUGGAUCAUGCAAGGUAGAGAGGAGAUUCCUGACUGGGAAAGAGAGUGCUGUGAAUGUCACAAGAGAAAGGCAAAGGCUGCUGAACAGAUAAUGGCUCCCCAACCAAAGAUUUGACUAAAGAUGGCCUUAUGAGCUUUCGCACGAACAGUGGUUGACUUUGCAGGACCAUUUGUAACUAUCCAGGGGAGGGGCAAGAAGAGAGCUUAAAGAUACCUUUGUUUAUUUACAUGCCUAACAUUGAGGGCUAUUCACCUAGAGAUGGCCUAUGGGCUGGACAUAGAUUCCUUUCUGAGUGCAUUUCAUUGCAUGGCCAAUCGGAGUGGGGUGCCAGAAGAGAUGAUUUCUGAUAACGGAACUAAUUUUGUAGGCACGGAAAGAAAGUUGAGGGGGCUCGUCAAAGAACUGGAUCGAGACAAGAUUGAGAAAUCAGCUGCCAACAAAGGAAUCAAGUGGAUUUUCAAUCCACCACGGGCACCUCACUUUGGUGGGGUGCAUGAGACAAUGAUCAAGUCAGGGAAGAGAGCAACCUAUGUGAUAUUGGGAACUGCAGAUGUGCCCAAUGAAGAACUGAUUACAGCAUUUGUGUGUGCAGAGGCACUCAUAAAUUCCAGGCCUUUAACAUAUCAGUCGCGAAUCCCUCAGAUGACACACCCAUCACCCUAAAUCAUUUCCUGAUUGGACAAGUAGGAGGCCAGUUCGCUCCUGGAUCAGUUGAUAGUGGCCAGUUCAGCCCCAAGAAGAGAUGGAGAUGGGUGCAAGAACUAGUGCGACCUUUUUCGUACUAGUGGCUCCGAGAGUGGCUACCAACUUUGAAUCAUGUGUCCAAGUGGUGGAAGGAACAAAAGGAUGUCCAAGUUAAUGAUGUAGUCUUAGUAGUGGCACUUAACACGCCUUGUGGGCAGUGGCUGCUCGGUAGAAUCAUAGUGGUCUUUCCAGGGAAGGACAAGCAAGUGAGAGCUGUCAAAGUCAGAGUUGGCCAAAAGGAAUUGUUGAGACCGAUCACCAGAAUCUGCCCAUUAAAACUCCUUACAGAAUAUGACAGAAGAAUAGAACAGAAGCGAACUUUAAGAGAACUAGAACUAUAGUGAACCUUUAAGCUAGAAACACAAAACUCCUAUUGAUAGGUUGAUGAGCCACUGGCCCAUCAAGAAGGGGGAGUAUGAUGUGAAGGACAUUUUGUUAUAGUGCACUCAAAGUGCAAAUACUUAGGUCACGUGACUUUGAACACUUAGUGGAUGUUUUACGAUCACAUGGAGAUGUUGUUUACUAGUUUUUAGCGUUGUAAUUCAUUGUAGAGAUUGCUGUUUAUUUCAAGUUCAAAUAAAUGGUUUAACUCAGAACCACUAACAUCAAGCUGGUUAUCCAGAUACAUUUACCAGACUUAGACUGUGUUGUCAGUUAUAAAUCUACUACUACUUUAGCACAUCUAUGUAAAUAGUAUGUUGUUUUGGGGCCAUACGAUUAGCGCUAAUCAUAUGGCCCCCAAAAUAUAACAACAUGCAAUAACAUAUGCAUUAAGGCAUUUCUUGUAAUGUCCAUUUACAGCAUUUUUCAGUAAUUAUUCACUUUGGCAUGCUUAAGUGCUAUAUAUGCUGCUCAAUGUUAGUUGCAAUUAUUCCCUGAAGAAGUCUGAGACAGAUGAAACGCGUCAGAAAUAAACGAAAAAGCUUACAACUACAAGAAGUCCUCCUUUGUGCUGCUCACUAGUCUUUGUUAAAAAAUUAAUGGGCUUAGAGGGUAGAUAGUAGAUUGUAGAGCACAGAGCGUAGAUUAAAGAGAGUAGCUGGUAGAACACAGAGCAUAGAUUGGCUUAGACGGUAGAUCGUAGAACGUAGAUUGAAGAGAGUAGCUGGUAGAACGUAAAUAGAAUGUUGAUGGUAGAACAUAUAGCGUAGAGCAUAGAGCGUAGAGGGUAAGCUCAAUACAGAAUUGUACAUUAAGGAGAUUAUUAAAAUACUGUAAACCAUAAUAACACUAUAUAUGAGAUAAUAAAGAAAGCCAAUAAAUUACAAUUACAAAUAUUACAGCAUCGCAGAUGAUUGAGAAACUUGCACUCACAACCCAAUAUUUUUUAUCACUCUGCUGUUUUUUUAAGCCUCUAAGUUAGUAUAGAGAGUAGUAAAAAAUUCUUGAACUGAUAAACUCGUAAAUAUGUAGAGCAUAGAGCGUAAAUGGUGGAACAUGGAGUGUAAGAGCUUUAAGAGCAUAGCGUGUUGACUGUAGAUGGAAGAGAAGAUAGCAUAAAGCAUAGAGCGUAGUCAGGGUAAACUCAAUACAGAAUUGUAAAUUGAAAACAAUUAUUAAAGCACUGCAAUCCAUAAUAACACUCAACAUUCCCUAAGCGAUAUAAUAUUUGCUACAAUAACUAUAUGCCACUACACCUCCACAGUGUACGCAUAUCCAAGAGAAAUGGACCUUCAUCAUCAUCAUUAUUUAUCCGUUCUCCAAGUGGAGAAUUGGGCCGUAAGCUCUCUGCCACCAGGCUGUUCUGUCCUGUGCAGCCGAUGCUGCUGCUGCCCAUGUUCUUAAACCUUCCUUUUCCAGCUCCCUUUCGACAGUCCUUCUCCAAGUCUCGCGCGAUCGACCCCGUUUCCGUUUGCCUUCAGGUACCCAUGUGAGGGCAAUUCGUGGAUGUGAGUGGUGAUCCAUUCUGAGGCUGUGACCCAGCCACGUCCAGCUCCUCCUUGCCACUUGCUUGCUUAUUGUCUCCAUUCCUGCUCUUGCUCUAAUCUCCUCGUUUGUUAUCCGCAUUGGCCAGUAGAUCUUUAAUAUCCGAUGAAGGCUCUUAUGUAAGAAUGCAUCCAUUUUUUUCUCAUCUGGACCUGAAAUGGACCUUACUUCGAGUUUAUUCACAUGAUGUGAAUGAGAGGAUACAAUCAGAGAUCCUUCACUUAUUACGGUCGUUUUAAUUACACUAUUGUUCAAGUCAGCAAACUGCAGCAGUUUAGUUUCCAUGCCAUUAAUUUCUAUUCCCUGUAUGUGUUUCUGAGCUCUAACAGCAAUCGCCAAAAUUUCCGCUGAAGUUAAGAAAAGGAAUGGAGAAAGCAGCUCUCGCAGUUGAACUCCUCUUUCAGUGGUGAAUUAAUUUGAAUGGUGGAAAGUUUGAUGCCAAAGCAUUACUUGGCUAUUGUUAUUAUGGUGGAAUGAUUUACACUGCUCUGAAG
rnacentral:misc_RNA from 1 species